rnacentral:rRNA from 1 species
UACGUAGGUGGCAAGCGUUGUCCGGAUUUACUGGGCGUAAAGAGCGCGCAGGCGGUCGGAUUAGUCGCGUGUGAAAGCCCCCGGCUCAACUGGGGAGGGUCACGCGAUACUGUUCGACUUGAAGGCAGGAGAGGGAAGUGGAAUUCCCGGUGUAGUGGUGAAAUGCGUAGAUAUCGGGAGGAACACCAGUGGCGAAGGCGACUUCCUGGCCUGUUCUUGACGCUGAGGCGCGAAAGCUAGGGUAGCAAACGGG